GAUGAACGCUGGCGGCGUGCCUAAUACAUGCAAGUCGAGCGAACAGACGAGGAGCUUGCUCCUCUGACGUUAGCGGCGGACGGGUGAGUAACACGUGGAUAACCUACCUAUAAGACUGGGAUAACUUCGGGAAACCGGCGCUAAUACCGGAUAAUCUAUUGAACCGCAUGGUUCAAUAGUGAAAGACGGCUUUGCUGUCACUUAUAGAUGGAUCCGCGCCGCAUUAGCUAGUUGGUAAGGUAACGGCUUACCAAGGCGACGAUGCGUAGCCGACCUGAGAGGGUGAUCGGCCACACUGGAACUGAGACACGGUCCAGACUCCUACGGGAGGCAGCAGUAGGGAAUCUUCCGCAAUGGGCGAAAGCCUGACGGAGCAACGCCGCGUGAGUGAUGAAGGUCUUCGGAUCGUAAAACUCUGUUAUUAGGGAAGAACAAAUGUGUAAGUAACUAUGCACGUCUUGACGGUACCUAAUCAGAAAGCCACGGCUAACUACGUG
rnacentral:rRNA from 1 species